GAGAGAGAGAGAGAGAGAGUUCGAUCUUGGUCUCUGCUGUGGUUCUUCGUCUCGCUUAGAUUGAUAGUGAGGGAGGUUGUUGAUCGGCAUAGACAGGUCUCAAUUUUCGUUUGUUUCCAGCUUGGAGGCAUAAAAGCCGAGCUCUUUCUUUCUGUUCUUAUCAAUUGAUGCCCGAGUUCUUUCUUUAGUUAAAGAAAAACGUGUAAUCUGCUGUGUUCGGGAAGCCUCCAUCAACAUCCGGAAUCACUGUUAGUAACCUCAGAGUCGGCAAUCAUGCAGAAUCACCAACAAUGAGGACUCGUCUCUGUAAAAGUUCAAGGCGUGAGAUACAAAAGAGCAAAGGACAAAUCAAUUUACGUUUGUUUUGGAGAAGGGCACGAUCUGCUGCACGAAUGAGAUUCAGAGAAAAUUCUUGACUGCCAAUUCUAAUCCCCUUAACAGAGGUAAACUUUUAAACCUUUUUUCCUUUUGGGAAUUUGAUUAAAGUUUGUUCCUUUUGCUUUGUGUGAUUGAAACUUGGUUUGUUAUCGAUGGUUUUGUGGUUUUGAAUCGGUGGUUUUUGUUGUGGUUGGGUUUCAAUUGAUUUGGGUUUUCAUGUUUUAGGGUAUUGAUUUGGGUUUCGAUGUUUUUGUUGAGGUUUUGAUUUUCGGUGAUUACAGAGGUUUGGGUGUUUUCUUUGUGUUUGAGUGGUAAUGACUGUUUUGUUUUUACUCUGUAGGUUUUU